rnacentral:rRNA from 1 species
CGACCUCAAAUCAGGUAGGACUACCCGCUGAACUUAAGCAUAUCAAUAAGCGGAGGAAAAGAAACCAACAGGGAUUGCCUUAGUAGCGGCGAGUGAAGCGGCAAAAGCUCAAAUUUGAAAUCUGGCACUUUCAGUGUCCGAGUUGUAAUUUGAAGAAGGUAUCUUUGGGUCUGGCUCUUGUCUAUGUUUCUUGGAACAGAACGUCACAGAGGGUGAGAAUCCCGUGCGAUGAGAUGUCCCAGACCUAUGUAAAGUUCCUUCGAAGAGUCGAGUUGUUUGGGAAUGCAGCUCUAAGUGGGUGGUAAAUUCCAUCUAAAGCUAAAUAUUGGCGAGAGACCGAUAGCGAACAAGUACAGUGAUGGAAAGAUGAAAAGAACUUUGAAAAGAGAGUGAAAAAGUACGUGAAAUUGUUGAAAGGGAAGGGCUUGAGAUCAGACUUGGUAUUUUGUAUGUUACUCUCUCGGGGGUGGCCUCUACAGUUUACCGGGCCAGCAUCAGUUUGAGCGGUAGGAUAAGUGCAAAGAAAUGUGGCACUGCUUCGGUAGUGUGUUAUAGUCUUUGUCGAUACUGCCAGCUUAGACUGAGGACUGCGGCUUCGGCCU